rnacentral:rRNA from 1 species
GACGAACGCUGGCGGCGUGCUUAACACAUGCAAGUCGAACGGAAAGGCCCUGCUUGCCGGGUACUCGAGUGGCGAACGGGUGAGUAACACGUGGGUGAUCUGCCCUUCACUUCGGGAUAAGCCUGGGAAACUGGGUCUAAUACCGGAUAUGAGCCAUUUUUAGUGUGAUGGUUGGAAAGUUUUUUCGGUGUAGGAUGAGCUCGCGGCCUAUCAGCUUGUUGGUGGGGUAAUGGCCUACCAAGGCGGCGACGGGUAGCCGGCCUGAGAGGGUGAACGGCCACAUUGGGACUGAGAUACGGCCCAGACUCCUACGGGAGGCAGCAGUGGGGAAUAGUGCACAAUGGGCGCAAGCCUGAUGCAGCGACGCCGCGUGGGGGAUGACGGCCUUAGGGUUGUAAACUCCUUUCGCUAGGGACGAAGCUUUUUGUGACGGUACCUAGAUAAGAAGCACCGGCGAACUACGG